rnacentral:lncRNA from 1 species
GUUUGAUCCAGGUCACUUCUGUUUGAUAUUUGUCCGGAUCUUAUGUCACUCAACCUUUUGCAAAAGGUACUAUGGCUUUAUCAUUUACCAGGAUAAAGUCAAAUCAGAUAUACCUUAGAUUAUAUCAAUCUAAAUGCAAUAAUUCCUAUAAGAUAGGAUCCGAUAGCUUUUGAUCAAAUAUACCAAACAUACCAUUUCUCCCU